rnacentral:lncRNA from 1 species
UAAGACCCCAUCUCUACCAAGAACUUAAAAAAAUUAGCUGGGAGGUCAGGUGCGGUUGUUCACAACCUGUAAUCCUAGCACUUUGGGAGGCCGAGGCGGGUGGAUUGCUUGAGCCCAGGAGUUCGAGACCAGUCUGAGCAACAUGACGAAACCCCAUCUCUACAAAAAAUACCAAAAUUAGCCAGGCAUGGUGGCACAUGCCUGUAAUCCUAGCUACUUGGGAGGCUGAGGCAGAAGGAUUGCUUGAACCUGGGAAGCAGAGGUUGCAGUGAGCUGUGAUCACACCACUACACUCCAGCACUCCAGCCUGGGCAACAGAGCCAGACCUUGUCUCAAAAAAAAAAAAAAAAAAAAAAAAUUAGCUGGGUAUGGCAGCACACACCUAUAGGCCCAACUACUUGGGAGGCGGAGGCAGGAGGAUCACUUGAGCCCAGGAGUUUGAGGCUGCAGUGUGAUAUUGCACUGCACCCCAGCCUGGGCAACAGAGCGAGACUCUGUCUCUAAAACAAUAAAAAUGAAAAUAGAGAAAAAGCAUGAGGUUCCAUGGACCCAUCACCCAGCUUCAAACAUUAACCACAUAGCCAGUCUUAUUUCAUCUAUGCCAGUUCCACCCAAUAUUGUUUUGAGGCAAAUAUCAGAUUUUAUAUCAUUUUGUUCAUAAAUAUUUUAGUAUGCAACUAAAAGAUAAGAGAUAUAAAUGUAUGUAUAUAUAUGUAGUAAUAUAUAACUACAAUACCAUUAUUACAUAAAAAGUGCAAUCAGCCCUUAAUAUCAUCAAAUCACCUAAUCAGUAUUUAAAUUUCCAGGCUUAUAAACAUCAUAAUACUUUUUUACAAUUUGUUUCAGAAUCCAAAUAAGGUAUACACAAUCUAUAAAUCUUAAACUUCCGGGGAAUUCUAGAUUGAAACAAACCCAGAACAAAACUGGAUUUCUCUAACCCUGCCUUAUGUUAUAUAAAAUUACAACAGCAGGAGGGUUGGGUUUUUUCCCUUAUAAAAAAGUCUUUCCAAUGCUGUGUCAGUCAUUAGCUAGUUACUUCCACGGGUCCCAGAUUUCUGGCCUCAUAACUGGAAGCAUUUGGCAAUUUGGCUGCAGAACGAUGUUGGCAUGUGAGUCAUCUCCCACCGAAGUCCACCCAUGUGGCAGUGUUACCCUGAAAAUGCCACUGGUCCUCAACAGCUCCUUGGAGGCCUAACGAAGUGAGAGGGUUCAGGUGCCAAAGAAGCCACCAGGGGGCUCCCGAGGAACUCGAUGAACUUCGGCGUUCACUGAAAAGCCAAUUAGGCUGCCUUCUCACAGCGCGGCUGUUGAGCCUUGGCGCCCCACUCCCUCAGGUUGGCUUCUUCAGCAGAGGGACCAGACCUCAGGGAGAUGAGGUCUCUCAUCUCAUCAUCCUCAGGGAGAUGAUCCCCGUGGCUGGCUGGCAAGGCCAAGGUUAGCUGUCCGUGGCCAUCAGAGUGUGUGAAACGUUCAGCCUUCCCCUCCCCACCCACAUUGGUCAUCUUUGCAAACGCACUGGACAGCAAAGAGCAUCCUCAGAUGUGGCGCAUCCCACGCUAAUAAGGACCUUGUAGCCUGCGGUUGUUAAUACUUUAAUGAAUUAAUGCUCCUUGAUGGCUUCCGCCUUCACCAUAAACGUGAGGGCCUCCAGCACACAGCCCCGGCCUGGGCAGCAGCCUAGUCAAGUGGAAGGAAUGGGAAUGUGAGAAGUCUUCAGCUCAAAGAAUAGCCCCAUGAGUUAAAUCCUAACACCUGACUCACUUCAAGAUCUUGACCUUGCGUCACCUGAGUUGACCUUUUUAGACCCAGAUCUGUCUUCCAAGGAGCUCUCUUGCUUCUCCGUGCUGUACUCAAGCUGCUGUGAUUAUGUCUACACUGCACUGAACCAACAUCGGAUCAGUCCACCGUCUUGUCUCUGAGACCUGCUUAGGUCUCAGGUUCCUGGCUGCGGGAGAGGAAAGGUACAUACUCAGUGGCACUCCACUCUUUUAGCCUGGGAUCUCCCUCACCCCUUUGCUACUUCCCUGGCCCAAAUGGGCCUGCAGUCUCUCAAAAUGCAUCUUGGGUAUCAUGUUCUCUUUCUGUCCUUGUCUGCUUAUCUUUAUUAUGGUGCAUCCUGCCUUAUCUCACUCCUGGCAGCUUCCUCCAGUUUAGACCCCGUGUCUUUAUUUUCUAGCUUCUAAAGCUUUGAGUUUGGUGUACCCAACUGUGCGCGUUUCUCCAGGUUAACUUGGCUUGUAUUUCAGCUCCGGGCUUCCUGGUGCUGACCCUGGCCCUUGAAGUCAUUCCCAAAUGCUCCCUCUUCAAGUUAAGUUUUGCCCUUUGCUGACACACAUUUUCUCCCUGGGCUCCCAUGUAACCUGGACUAUGUUGAAGCCUCUCUUUAAUGGCACUCUGUUAUAGUCUACAACUGAAUUGUGCAUUUCCAGGAAAAUAUCGUAACUGCAACCUAUAGAAAAAGUCACACAGCUUCUGUAUAUUCAUUCCUUUCGGUAAAAUCUUAUCUCUUCUUCCUCCCAUGGGCAACACAAGGUUUUCCAAGGACCAGGGCCUCUUCUCUGGAACAUCUAGGUAAGGUACCCACAAAGCCUAGGCAAACAAAGGUAGGACCUGGCAGAGGGGUUUGGGGCAGGAGUUGUAUCCUAACUUCUGGCCCUUCCUCCAUUGAGAAGAAAAUUCUCUUUCAUUCAUUCAUGUGUUGAGUACCUUCAGUGAGUCAGGAUCUCAGAACCAGAUGCUGGCGAUUCAGAGGUGAUACAAGUAGUGAAUUCCAGGAGCUCACAGUCUAUGGGGUGAAUAAAUGCUUUAUCAUGCGGUACAAACCAGGGCCCAGGAAUAUACAGUGCACAG